rnacentral:rRNA from 1 species
GACGAACGCUGGCGGCGUGCUUAACACAUGCAAGUCGAACGAAGUGGCGAACGGGUGAGUAACGCGUAAUCAAACUGCCCUUCAGAGGGGGACAACAGUUGGAAACGACUGCUAAUACAGCAUACUGAAGGAGGGGAUGGCGUCGGAUGAGCUAGUUGGAGGGGUCACGGCCCACCAAGGCGAGGAUCAGUAGUCGGGCUUAGAGGAAUAACGGCCAAAUUGGGACUGAGACACGGCCCAGACUCCUACCGGAGGCAGCCGUGGGGAAUCUUCCGCAAUUGACGAAAGUCUGACGGAGCAACGGCGCGGGAGUGAUGACGGCCCUCGGGUUGUAAAGCUCGUUUAAUCGGGACGCGGUACCGGAAUAGAAAGCCACGGCUAACUCCGUGCCAGCAGCCGCGGUAAUAC